UACGGGGGGGGUAAGCGUUGUUCGGAAUUACUGGGCGUAAAGGGCUCGUAGGCGGCCAACUAAGUCGGACGUGAAAUCCCUCAGCUUAACUGGGGAACUGCGUCUGAUACUGGAUGGCUUGGAUUCGGGAGAGGAAUGCGGAAUUCCAGGUGUAGCGGUGAAAUGCGUAGAUAUCUGGAGGAACACCUGCGGCGAAGGCGGGUUGCUGGGCUGAUACUGACGCUGAGGCGCGAAAGCCAGGGGAGCGAACGGG
rnacentral:rRNA from 1 species